rnacentral:rRNA from 1 species
GGAAUAUUGCGCAAUGGGCGAAAGCCUGACGCAGCAACGCCGCGUGAGGGAUGAAGGCCUUCGGGUUGUAAACCUCUUUUAGCAGGGAAGAAGCGAAAGUGACGGUACCUGCAGAAAAAGCACCGGCUAACUACGUGCCAGCAGCCGCGGUAAUACGUAGGGUGCAAGCGUUAUCCGGAAUUAUUGGGCGUAAAGAGCUCGUAGGCGGUUUGUCGCGUCUGCUGUGAAAAUCUGAGGCUCAACCUCGGACUUGCAGUGGGUACGGGCAGACUAGAGUGCAGUAGGGGAGAAGGGAAUUCCUGGUGUAGCGGUGGAAUGCGCAGAUAUCAGGAGGAACACCAAUGGCGAAGGCACUUCUCUGGGCUGUAACUGACGCUGAGGAGCGAAAGCGUGGGGAGCGAACAGGAUUAGAUACCCUGGUAGUCCACGCCGUAAACGUUGGGCGCUAGAUGUGGGUCACAUUCCACGUGAUCCGCGUCGCAGCUAACGCAUUAAGCGCCCCGCCUGGGGAGUACGGCCGCAAGGCUAAAACUCAAAGGAAUUGACGGA